CCUUAACCUGCUAAAUAGUGUUGCUAACGAUUGUUGGUAUUUCACUUCUUAGAGGGACUGACUACGAUUAGUGGUCGGAAGUUUGAGGCAAUAACAGGUCUGUGAUGCCCUUAGAUGUUCUGGGCUGCACGCGCGCUACACUGACAAAGUCAACAAGUAUACAACCUUGACCGGAAGGUCUGGGCAAUCUUUUGAAACUUUGUCGUGCUGGGGAUAGACCAUUGCAAUUAUUGGUCUUCAACGAGGAAUUCCUAGUAAGCGCAAGUCAUCAGCUUGCGUUGAUUACGUCCCUGCCCUUUGUACACACCGCCCGUCGCUACUACCGAUUGAAUGGCUUAGUGAGGCCUUCGGAUUGAGCCAUUGCAGUAAUGUGGUGGUUUGAAAAGUUGGUCAAACUUGGUCAUUUAGAGGAAGUAAAAGUCG
rnacentral:rRNA from 1 species